AGCAGUAGGGAAUCUUUCACAAUGGGCGAAAGCCUGAUGGAGCAACGCCGCGUGCAGGAUGACGGCCUUCGGGUUGUAAACUGCUUUUAUAUGCGAGAAAUAUGAUGGUAACAUAUGAAUAAGGACCGGCUAACUACGUGCCAGCAGCCGCGGUCAUACGUAGGGUCCAAGCAUUAUCCGGAUUGACUGGGUGUAAAGAGUUGCGUAGGUGGCAGGGUAAGUAGAUAGUGAAAUCUGGUGGCUCAACCAUUCAGACUAUUAUCUAAACUGCUCCGCUCGAGAGCGUUAGGGGUAGCUGGAAUUUCUAGUGUAGGAGUGAAAUCCGUAGAUAUUAGAAAGAACACCGAUAGCGUAGGCAGGCUACUGGGACGUUUCUGACACUAAGGCACGAAAGCGUGGGGAGCAAACGGGAUUAGAUACCCGGGUAG
rnacentral:rRNA from 1 species